UGGGAAUGUCAUCCUGGGCACGCUGUAGC
rnacentral:piRNA from 1 species